UCGAGCGGCAGCGCGGGGGCAACCCUGGCGGCAAGCGGCGAACGGGUGAGGAAUACAUCGGAACGUACCCGAGAGUGGGGGAUAACGCCGCGAAAGCGGCGCUAAUACCGCAUAUUCUCUUUGGAGGAAAGUGGGGGACCGCAAGGCCUCACGCUCACGGAGCGGCCGAUGUCCGAUUAGCUAGUUGGUGGGGUAAAGGCUUACCAAGGCGACGAUCGGUAGCUGGUCUGAGAGGAUGAUCAGCCACACUGGGGCUGAGACACGGCCCAGACUCCUACGGGAGGCAGCAGUGGGGGAUUUUGGACAAUGGGGGCAACCCUGAUCCAGCCAUGCCGCGUGCGGGAAGAAGGCCUUCGGGUUGUAAACCGCUUUUAGCCGGGAAGAAAAGGCGAAGGUUAAUACCUUUCGUUCUUGACGGUACCGGCGGAAUAAGCACCGGCUAACUACGUGCCAGCAGCCGCGGUAAUACGUAGGGUGCGAGCGUUA
rnacentral:rRNA from 1 species